AGAGGGUGUAAGCGUUAAUCGGGAAUUACUGGGGCGUAAAGGGCGCGUAGGUUGCUAGUUUAGUCAGAUGUGAAAUAUCCGGGGCUUAACCUGGGACAUGCCAUCUGAUACUGACUGGCUAGAGUACAGUAGAGGGAAGUGGAAUUUCCGGUGUAGCGGUGAAGUGCGUAGAUAUCGGAAGGAACAUCAGUGGCGAAGGCGACUUCCUGGACUGAUACUGACACUGAGGCGCGAAAGCGUGGGUAGCGAACAGGAUUAGAUACCCUGGUAGUCCACGCCGUAAACGAUGAGAACUAGCUGUAGGGCACGACAGUGCUUUGUAGCGUAGCUAACGCGCUAAGUUCUCCGCCUGGGGAGUACGGCCGCAAGGUUA
rnacentral:rRNA from 1 species